CUCAUUUCAGCAGCAGAGAUACUUGAAUUGGAAUGACACCGAGAAGAUUAGCCUGGCCCCUAUGCAAGGGUGACAAGCAGAUAGUAAAGCAUGCUGUAUUUUU
rnacentral:snRNA from 1 species